rnacentral:rRNA from 1 species
GAUGAACGCUGGCGGCGUGCCUAAUACAUGCAAGUCGAGCGAACAGACGAGGAGCUUGCUCCUCUGACGUUAGCGGCGGACGGGUGAGUAACACGUGGAUAACCUACCUAUAAGACUGGGAUAACUUCGGGAAACCGGAGCUAAUACCGGAUAAUAUAUUGAACCGCAUGGUUCAAUAGUGAAAGACGGUUUUGCUGUCACUUAUAGAUGGAUCCGCGCCGCAUUAGCUAGUUGGUAAGGUAACGGCUUACCAAGGCGACGAUGCGUAGCCGACCUGAGAGGGUGAUCGGCCACACUGGAACUGAGACACGGUCCAGACUCCUACGGGAGGCAGCAGUAGGGAAUCUGCCGCAAUGGGCGAAAGCCUGACGGAGCAACGCCGCGUGAGUGAUGAAGGUCUUCGGAUCGUAAAACUCUGUUAUUAGGGAAGAACAAAUGUGUAAGUAACUAUGCACGUCUUGACGGUACCUAAUCAGAAAGCCACGGCGAACUACGU